AAGUCGUAACAAGGUUUCCGUAGGUGAACCUGCGGAAGGAUCAUUACCAAAUCCAAAUCCCAAAACCCCAUGUGAACUAUUGUAUAGUCUGUCUUUGGGAGAAAAACGUAAAAGUAUUAUGAAAAAAGCUUCGGUUUUAUUCUUUUAUUUUGAAACUUUUCUCCCAAUAGAGUCCGGCGCAACGUUAUUGUUGUGUCCAGAUUCGAAACCCCUUUUAAAACCACUUGAUUUUUCUGUUGGAAUUUACUUUUAUUAAUUAUAAAUAAAAGACAACUUUUAACGGUGGAUCUCUUGGCUCGUG
rnacentral:misc_RNA from 1 species